UAAGGAAUAUUGGUCAAUGGACGAAAGUCUGAACCAGCCAUGCCGCGUGGAGGAUGAAGGUCCUCUGGAUUGUAAACUUCUUUUAUAGGGGACGAAAAAGGGAAUUCUUUCCGUCUGACGGUACCCUAUGAAUAAGCACCGGCUAACUCCGUGCCAGCAGCCGCGGUAAUACGGAGGGUGCAAGCGUUAUCCGGAUUCACUGGGUUUAAAGGGUGCGUAGGCGGGCAGGUAAGUCAGAGGGUGAAAUCUCCGGGGCUUAACCCGGAAACUGCCUUUGAUACUAUCUGUCUUGAAUAUGGUGGAGGUAAGCGGAAUAUGUCAUGUAGCGGUGAAAUGCUUAGAGAUGACAUAGAACACCCAUUGCGAAGGCAGCUUACUACGCCUAUAUUGACGCUGAGGCACGAAAGCGUGGGGAUCAAACAGGAUUAGAUACCCUGGUAGUCCACGCCCUAAACGAUGAUUACUCGACAUACGCGAUACACAGUGUGUGUCUGAGCGAAAGCAUUAAGUAA
rnacentral:rRNA from 1 species